ACGAGUUCAAAACACACUUCACUCCCUUGUCGCUUCAGAAAGGGAACGACUGGGGAUUACCUCUUUUCCUGUUGGGUACAUCUCUCUCUGAGUCUUCAUCUUUCUUUUUGUUUCCUAAGUCACUGGUGUUGACUGUGACAGUUGCCUUGAUUUCUUGCUGUGCCACUUUCAUGCGAUCAUAAAAAACCUUAAAGAACUUCUCGGAUUUCUUGUCUUCCGUCAGUCGGCAGAAGAAGGAAUGCUACGAGAGAAAAUGAACAGGAUCUGCAGCUGAAUCCAGAUUAUCCCACCUUUUGGCACUGACUGGCAUCCUGGAGGAACUGGAGGUUAAUUAGUUGUCAGUAAACUGAAACCCAGAGCAAUGGAAACUCGUACUUUAUUGUUAAGGAAGCCCCAGUGUCUCAGCUUUGUUAACUCCCUUAUUAACAACUUCAAAUACAUUAUUAAAGAGAAGUGAGGGCAAUAAAUCACACCAGCCCUGACAGAUUUGGGCAGCACACCUCUCUCAACAAGGGAAUUAAGAUAUAGCCUCACAGCAAAAAGUGUAAAAGUCUCCCUUUUUAAAAUGGAAAUGGAGUGGCCAUUUUAGAGCACCGUCUGCUGGGGUCCUGCUUGCACACAGACACCCUGCAACCACAGCAAGGCUGCUGAAAGAGCAAGUGUGGAGGAACAGCCAACCUCCACACUCGUACGGGUGUUUGAAGAACAGAGCUUCCAACGUGCCCCUGACAUCAGCCAUCCCUGAGCAGUCAGUCACCACCAGGCUGGGGCUUGGGAUCUCCUGAAAACCUACUGCAGGGCAGGGAAUUGUGAUCCCUAACACCCACAUGGGGCCGUCUCUGGCUGGCCCAGUACGAGGCACCAGAGGAGAAGCUGCCUGAAAGUGCCAUGACACAGCAGCCCAUGAGGUUUUCCCCAGGAACUCCAGGUUCAGCAAACAGCUUUACAAGUCCACACACCUCAACAAAACACAACAGAUCUCCAGAGCACAUCGACCAGCCGAGUGAAUAAACCACAACUGCUCAGAGGUGACAAUAUCUGAGAUAAUGUGAUGGCCACUAAUCACACAGCCACCCAACUAAACUGAAAACCACCUGCAUGUGACACGCACAAGGGUCUAACAGGACAGCUACGCUCACCAUGGGCAAGGACAUCACCACAGAGCUCUCCAUCACCUUCAAAGAUGGAGCAACCACCACCUGCACAAACUCACUCAUUGUUUCAAGGGGAUGGAAGGAAAAGAACCAGCACAGCAUCAUGUCUGCAAAGCCAGUCACACCAUUCCUCCUCCUGACAUCCAAAGUGAUCUAAAACAAACUGAAGGCCAAGUUUAAAUUGCAGCACACUGACCAGCCAUAGCCUGGCCCACCCUGGAGCACCAGCAGCCCCUCACUCUCCCUCAUCAACUCAGCCAAAGCUGUGUUUAAGUCAUGUGUUUUUUUGAGAAAAGCAUCUGGUCUUUCUUUAGAAGGCAAAGAUGAUGAACUAUGUCUCACUAUAGGCUAUUCCAGUGGUAAAUAACUGUUAGAAACAUGUGAUUAAGCUCCCUUUUAUGUCACUAACUUCCAGUCAUUGGUAUUUUUUUGUGUCUCUUCUGUAGUUAUUCCCAGGAAUUUGGUCUCCAAUCCCCUUCUAACUAUUUACAUACUCUGUGAAAUGUUUACCUAAUGUUUCUUGCUAAACUGAAAACACUAUUUUUGCUUGCUGGCUUUUCAUUUCAGCUUUAAUAUCAUUUUCUGUGGUGGUUAUUUUUUGGCAUGUUCUUAAAUAUUGCAGAUCAUUAACAAGCUGGAUUGCAGAAGCACAUUUAAAAAAAAAAUAAAUCACCAAAGAACUGGCACGUUUCCUAGCAUUAACAUUUCAUUCCAAGACCUUUGACAUAUGUAAUAUACAUAAUUUCCAGUGAUGAGUGAAAGAGAAGCUCAGCUCACUCCCCAGCGGUUCAGGGGAGGGGGAUUACAGAGGCAGGAUAACCAAGGGCAGGGACAAAUGCUCCUUAGUGUGAUUCCUGUACCAGCAAUCGGUAAAAAAAUGGAUUUUAACCAGCAGAACUGGCAUCUGUCCUUAGGAGAACAAAGCCAUAAACCCCAGCAGCCCGGUACCUUUGUGUAAGGUGCACAGAGUACAGACUCAGGUGACCAAUACACUAUAAAUAUAACUAAUCCACAAUAAAUUCAAUGAUGAGUGAGUUUGUGCCCAGUGUGGGAUUAUUAAAUGGGAAAAAAACCAGGAACCAGCUGAAGGCAGCUUAUUUCCAGCUCUUGCCUUUGAAAGCCUGGCCCAGUUUGGCCUGUGUGCUGUGUCACCUUUACUGGGAACACCUUUCCCUGUGCUGUAACCUGGGUCUGCCCCGACGUCACUACUGUUUUGUCGGCCAAGAAAAGGAACAACUGUUGGAUUACUUUGUAGGAACAGCUUGACUUUCCACCCCAGACACUAAUUCCAGGCUGGCCUGUUGGAAGGAUCAUGUGAGAAACGGAACCCAAACCUAUCAGCAAGCACUGGGUUUAAGCAGCAGCAUCUGCUCAGCUGUGUUUCCUCCCAAGAAGGGGUGGCCUGAGUCGAGACGAGCCCUUGGCUGCCGAUCCCACACGGAGAACACGGAGCACAGAGCACUUUUGGGACCACGCCCUCUCAAAGCUGUUUCACCACACCACAGCACUAAGCCCUGCCAGACCCUCCUACAGAUCCUGAAGAAUUCCCCAGGAGAACAAAUAUUUGAUUACCAAGGAAUAAGGAAAAGCAAAGGCCCAGCGAACACCUUGCCAAUUAAAGCAGACUGUUGUCAUGUCCUUCCCCAUCUCCCUAAUGCCAGGGAACAGAAAAUACCCCGUGAGCUUGGCGAGCCAGGGAGAUUUCAGAGAGGAAAGUCCCUCCAGAGAGAGGAGAAAGAUCAGUGAUCUGGCUUCAACUCAGGACAUUUUAUUCCAACAUUAGAGAGGAAUUCUUACAGGGACCUCAGCUCGCUCGGGUUAUCCAGCCAGGCUGCUAGCACCAAUGCAAAACUUGUGUGCUACUUCAUCUCUGCAGGAAGAGUUUGCCACCUCCAGACUAGUUCUUAGAGCUGGACUACUUCAAAAAAGCCACAUUUUAAGGGGAACUGCACUAACACAAGCACUGAAUUAAGCACAAAUGCCAACCCUCUACAUUCUGCCUAAAUAUAUUGCGAGGGCUUCCACUGCAGAAAAUUCCAACCUAACUUGCUUUCUCUCCCUCCUCAUUUAUUUGUUUAAAAUAUCACUAAUCCCUCUCUCUUGAAAUCUCUCGUACGUCCUGGCUCGCUGAAGAUCCAUCACUUUGGGUGUGAGUGAUGGAUAUCAUUAGUCUUGCAUAGCUUAAGGAAAUUGCAGCUGAAAUACUUCACGCUGAACAUACUUCACAGUUUGAAAUAAAUCCAUAAGGAAAAUCUGCCAGAACACCUCAAUUGCCUGCGUUUUUUUGCAAACUGUAAAAUAAACUUCGUCCCAAAAGCAGAAGGAGGACUUCCCAGCUCUGUUUUCCACAAAUAAGACAAAACUCUCUCUGCCAUGGGCAUCCACACACCAUCCCGCAUGGCUCUGGAGGUUCUGGUCCACCUUAUGGGGUGUGUUUUUUGGUGGGUAUGAGUGUACAAAACCUGACCUGUGGAAAUGCUCAUCUGUCCCCACCAGCUGUAAAUGAAGCAGCAGCAGAACUACAGCAGGAAGAGCCUUUAUAUCCUCUAUGUUCUCCUACUGCAACACCCAGACUCUUGAUGCAAUUUGAAGUCAUUUCACAGAGGAAAGCAAGAACAAGCCUCCAGAGAUAUAGUUCCCUCAUGCCCUUCCAGAGCCAGUACAACCCCCAGGAGCACAAGGUGACACGGGCUGAUCCCCAGGAUGUGAAGGCACACUGGGGAACCACAGGACCAGGAUCAUGGUGGAAUGCUGAGAGGAUUGACACACAGGAGGUGGUACCAACAACCAAGAACAACACAAGUACACCAAGACUGGAGAGCAAGACACAGCUGAACCCUGAGGUAGCACCUCUCCUUUUUUUCACCUACACUGCUCAGUCACACAGAUGGGCACCUCAAAAUCCAAGCAUAAAACCUUCCUUUGGGCAAAAAGACUGGAAGAUACUCUGCUACAGGAAUCCUGAUGGCCCAAAUAUACUUCAGAAAGCAGCAUCAGCUGUAGCUCAAGUGCAAAGUCCAGGUGGUACUGUUAUCAUCUCAACCUUUGUAUCUCACUGCCUUCACUGACAAUGAAAUCACCUCUGCAGGAAGGACUCCUCACACUGCAUUAUUAGUGGGCCUUGUUUGUUUUGAACCUGGUGGUAUCUAACACCUGUGGGAGACUGAGACUUCCCCGUGCUAACUGUAUUAAAAUAUAUGUGAAGGAGAUGGAGCUCCCACAGGCUUGGCAUCCUGAGCCUCCUCUUGUGGAGCAGCAGAGCAUCAGGACAGAGGUUUCCUCAGCACUGACUCAUGGCUAGUGCAGGUCCUGGGCCUUGUUUGGAAGACAACUGCAGUGCCAAGGACGUCAGGAUUUGCAGAAGGUUUCAUUACAGAGAGGGCUCUUUCAGCAAAGGACAUAGCUGAUCUUUAUGAUGCAGGUCCUUACCAACUCUGGCUUUUUAGUCAUGUUCUGAAGUAACAUACUCAGAAUGUCAAAAUAAUUAUGAUGUACUUUAACUUGAGCAAAACUCAUUUAAAUGGUGAAAGACACAGGUGAUUGCUUAACAUGUGCUAAAAGCUUCCUGGUUGGGCAGUAGUUUCCUAAAGAGGUAUCAUUAAAACAACAUAAAAAAGAUGUAACGUCAACUGUAUCAAAGAAUUCUGGUUGCUAUGAAUAAACAGAAAAGUUAAAAGAGAC